UACGGGGGGGGCAAGCGUUGUUCGGAAUUACUGGGCGCAAAGGGCGCGUAGGCGGCCUUCUAAGUCAGACGUGAAAUCCCUCGGCUCAACCGAGGAACUGCGUCUGAUACUGGAAGGCUUGAAUCCGGGAGAGGGAUGUGGAAUUCCAGGUGUAGCGGUGAAAUGCGUAGAUAUCUGGAGGAAUACCGGUGGCGAAGGCGGCAUCCUGGACCGGCAUUGACGCUGAGGAGCGAAAGCCAGGGGAGCAAACGGG
rnacentral:rRNA from 1 species